AAAGGCAUAAGAAUUGUAUCCU
rnacentral:siRNA from 1 species